rnacentral:rRNA from 1 species
ACGGAGGGGGCUAGCGUUGUUCGGAAUUACUGGGCGUAAAGAGCGCGUAGGCGGAUUGAUAAGUUGGAAGUGAAAGCCCGGGGCUUAACCUCGGAAUAGCUUUCAAAACUGUCAAUCUUGAGUGUAGUAGGGGAUGAUGGAAUUCCUAGUGUAGAGGUGAAAUUCUUAGAUAUUAGGAGGAACACCGGUGGCGAAGGCGGUCAUCUGGGCUACAACUGACGCUGAGGCGCGAAAGCGUGGGGAGCAAACAGG